CUGAUAUUAACAAGGGGGAGGCUGCCCAUUAAGUGCCUCGAUGCCUAGGGCAUUAUACAUGGUUCUGACCUUCCCUAUACUGUGUCCCAUGCCUCGCAGAUGGCA